rnacentral:rRNA from 1 species
GAGUUUUGAUCCUGGCUCAGGAUGAACGCUAGCGACAGGCUUAACACAUGCAAGUCGAGGGGCAGCAUGAUUUGUAGCAAUACAGAUUGAUGGCGACCGGCGCACGGGUGAGUAACGCGUAUGCAACUUACCUAUCAGAGGGGGAUAGCCCGGCGAAAGUCGGAUUAAUACCCCAUAAAACAGGGGUCCCGCAUGGGAAUAUUUGUUAAAGAUUCAUCGCUGAUAGAUAGGCAUGCGUUUCAUUAGGCAGUUGGCAGGGUAACGGCCCACCAAACCGACGAUGGAUAGGGGUUCUGAGAGGAAGGUCCCCCACAUUGGUACUGAGACACGGACCAAACUCCUACGGGAGGCAUCA